rnacentral:lncRNA from 1 species
UGCCGGUUUUCGUUACUUCGAUUAGCCCAGAAGGGAUUUUGCACAGAAUGAAACGGACAUUUUGGAUCUUUCAUUAUUGUUUAAAAAUUUGAAUUUCAUAUGAAUAUUAAAUUAUGUAGAUAGUAGUUUAGAAAACUUAAAAGAAAUUUGAGUAAACAAAAAUUGAGUUAACGGAUGUUUUAGGAGGAUUAACUUUUUGAUAAUGACCUUUAGACAUGCUUGUUUGUAUAUUAAAACAUGCUUGUUACCAUAUUUAAAAUCGUUAUUUAGUCUGAUUUUCUAAUGGCAUAAAAAACUAUACUUAGACUGUUAUUAAAAUAGACUAUUAGUCUAUAAUAAUUCGCAUAAAUAUCACAAAAAUUUGAAAAAAGGUUUAGUUAUGAAAGUUAUUAAGAUUGGUAUUAUUUAAUUAAAUUGAAGCAGUUUGUAUUACAGAAAAAAGUGGUUUUACAAGAUUUGAAAUAGUUUGUAUCAAACCAAGAAGUAGUUAAAAGAUUGCAAAAGAGUAAAAUGUCAUAUCACCGGGCUGUUUGGUUGGAAGAAAAUCGUGAGGAAGAAGGAGUCUUGCCAUCCGCAUGGGUGCGGGGAAAGAUAGUUAUGUGGCCCCCAUCCAAAAUGAAUGCGUUUAAAUUAAUGAAAGAAGGAGUAGAACCUAAUGAAAAUUGGCGACUUUUUCAACUAAUAAAAAUAAAAAUUACUUCAGAUUGCUACAAGGAUUGUAAUAAUUAUGAUUUAACUACAGAAACUGAAGAAGAUAAUCAGCAAGUUUCAAAAAAACUGCAAGCGUACUGCUUGUACAACUUUUUUUGAAGGCGAGGAAGAAGUUGAUGUUGAUAUUAAUACAGAAAGUAAGAAUAUAUAUUUUUUAUGUUAAUUCACCUCCCUAAAGGCUGAGAUGACCACUACAAUCGAAGAGGCUACUUGUAGUUUCAACCCUCUCUCAACUUCAUAACUCUGAAACACAAACCUUGACGAACAAGGCUGCUGCGUGAAGAAACAAGUUCAUUAAUUAGUAAUUUUAUGAAGAGUAGAGCAGGAGCUAAUAAUAGCCUACAUAAUAAUAGUAAUAAUAGUGUUAUGUGUAUGUAUUUUAUAAUAAAACAGUUAUUAAAAAUAAUUUUUUACACUUGCUGUAAUUGUAUUUUAUUUUUAAAAUAGUAAAACUAUCUACAUUUCCACAGCCACCUGCUAAAUUAGGCAAAAUGUUACCAUCAAAUAUUUCACUAUAUAAAAAGGUUGUGGAUGUGGUACCACAAGGAUUUAAAAGUGAUCAUGCAACUAAACUAUCACCAAUUCCACAGUCACCUGGUCUUUCAAGCUGUUAUUCUAAGAUACCUUCAUUCAAAUCAAGCAUGGUGACUAUACCAAAAUAAAAUAAAAUGGAUCAAUCAACUAACCAAUCAGCACUUUCUCCUUUUCUGUUACCCCGAAAAUUUGAUUUUAAAAUACCAAUAUUCAGACAGAGAGCUGCCACAUCAAAAGACAAUUGAAACUAUCAGCAUUAAAUAGAAAGUUUCAAGCAAACAUGAUACUGAGUGAGCCAACUGCUCCUCAAGAAAAUGAAAUCGAUAAUGGGAUUAUCAAAUAUGGCUAACGAAAUUAAAGAUUUACGAAUAGCAGUGGAAAUGAUGGCCGUACCAAGUUUAGAGACUGUUGCUGAGGUCCAUC